AGUGUAGGCGGUUUGGCAAGUCGAGUGUGAAAUCCCAGGGCCCAACCCUGGAACUGCACUCGAUACUGCUUGACUAGAGUCCCGGAGAGGGUGGCGGAAUUCCCGGUGUAGAGGUGAAAUUCGUAGAUAUCGGGAGGAACACCAGUGGCGAAGGCGGCCACCUGGACGGUGACUGACGCUCAGACCCGAAAGCGUGGGGAGCAAACAGGAUUAGAUACCCUGGUAGUCC
rnacentral:rRNA from 1 species